GACGUGGCGCAGCUUGGUAGCGCACUUGACUGGGGGUCAAGGGGUCGUCGGUUCGAAUCCGGCCGUC
rnacentral:tRNA from 1 species